CUCUUCAAUAUUUAUUUAUUUUCACAUUUUUAAUUCCUCCUCCUCCUCCUUAACCGUCUUUUUCUUCUUAUCGUCACCACAGUGGUCCUAAGUGGGCCUUCGCCAUCCCUCACCUCAAAUAGAUCGACCACGCCGCAGUGACGGCAUGUCGACGGUGGUGGAAUGCGGGAGAGACGAAUGUGAGCCCAAAUAGUCCACGAAUUCUGAUCACCAGAUUUAGACCGGUCGAGAGCUCGAUUUUUCGAUUGGACCGGCCACGGCCACCAACCCCGACCUGUCUUGCUUUUCCGUGCGUGGCGCGGAUUACCUCUGCUGUUGAAGACGCGAUUCAGCUUUGUGCUCGAAAGAUAAACGCCGUCGAAACGCGGGUCCCACUUUUCCGGUCCAUUUAUUGCGCUCGGAGUCCUCGAACCGUGAGCAGGGGGGCGCACGCGAUCUGUUCCCGGUCAGAAAAAGCGAGUAAAAAAGAGGUAAGGAAUCGCGGACCUUUUUCUUUAGCUUUUCCAUCAAGGAAUAAAGACGAGAGGGCGGGAAUAAAGGGGGGGGCGCGACGUGGGUGCAUUAUUGGCCUUUGAUUUGGUUUCGUCGGAGUAGUUUACCGUUCACGCAACCACCGUAGCGUCUUAUCGCUGUGCGUUAGCUGUCGCAGGCGACCAUUCGUACGGAUGCACUCGUCG
rnacentral:lncRNA from 1 species